rnacentral:rRNA from 1 species
UUAAGCGACUAAGCGUACACGGUGGAUGCCCUGGCAGUCAGAGGCGAUGAAGGACGUGCUAAUCUGCGAUAAGCGUCGGUAAGGUGAUAUGAACCGUUAUAACCGGCGAUUUCCGAAUGGGGAAACCCAGUGUGUUUCGACACACUAUCAUUAACUGAAUCCAUAGGUUAAUGAGGCGAACCGGGGGAACUGAAACAUCUAAGUACCCCGAGGAAAAGAAAUCAACCGAGAUUCCCCCAGUAGCGGCGAGCGAACGGGGAGCAGCCCAGAGCCUGAAUCAGUGUGUGUGUUAGUGGAAGCGUCUGGAAAGGCGCGCGAUACAGGGUGACAGCCCCGUACACAAAAAUGCACAUGCUGUGAGCUCGAUGAGUAGGGCGGGACACGUGGUAUCCUGUCUGAAUAUGGGGGGACCAUCCUCCAAGGCUAAAUACUCCUGACUGACCGAUAGUGAACCAGUACCGUGAGGGAAAGGCGAAAAGAACCCCGGCGAGGGGAGUGAAAAAGAACCUGAAACCGUGUACGUACAAGCAGUGGGAGCCUCUUUAUGGGGUGACUGCGUACCUUUUGUAUAAUGGGUCAGCGACUUAUAUUCUGUAGCAAGGUUAACCGAAUAGGGGAGCCGAAGGGAAACCGAGUCUUAACUGGGCGUUAAGUUGCAGGGUAUAGACCCGAAACCCGGUGAUCUAGCCAUGGGCAGGUUGAAGGUUGGGUAACACUAACUGGAGGACCGAACCGACUAAUGUUGAAAAAUUAGCGGAUGACUUGUGGCUGGGGGUGAAAGGCCAAUCAAACCGGGAGAUAGCUGGUUCUCCCCGAAAGCUAUUUAGGUAGCGCCUCGUGAACUCAUCUCCGGGGGUAGAGCACUGUUUCGGCAAGGGGGUCAUCCCGACUUACCAACCCGAUGCAAACUGCGAAUACCGGAGAAUGUUAUCACGGGAGACACACGGCGGGUGCUAACGUCCGUCGUGAAGAGGGAAACAACCCAGACCGCCAGCUAAGGUCCCAAAGUCAUGGUUAAGUGGGAAACGAUGUGGGAAGGCCCAGACAGCCAGGAUGUUGGCUUAGAAGCAGCCAUCAUUUAAAGAAAGCGUAAUAGCUCACUGGUCGAGUCGGCCUGCGCGGAAGAUGUAACGGGGCUAAACCAUGCACCGAAGCUGCGGCAGCGACGCUUAUGCGUUGUUGGGUAGGGGAGCGUUCUGUAAGCCUGCGAAGGUGUGCUGUGAGGCAUGCUGGAGGUAUCAGAAGUGCGAAUGCUGACAUAAGUAACGAUAAAGCGGGUGAAAAGCCCGCUCGCCGGAAGACCAAGGGUUCCUGUCCAACGUUAAUCGGGGCAGGGUGAGUCGACCCCUAAGGCGAGGCCGAAAGGCGUAGUCGAUGGGAAACAGGUUAAUAUUCCUGUACUUGGUGUUACUGCGAAGGGGGGACGGAGAAGGCUAUGUUGGCCGGGCGACGGUUGUCCCGGUUUAAGCGUGUAGGCUGGUUUUCCAGGCAAAUCCGGAAAAUCAAGGCUGAGGCGUGAUGACGAGGCACUACGGUGCUGAAGCAACAAAUGCCCUGCUUCCAGGAAAAGCCUCUAAGCAUCAGGUAACAUCAAAUCGUACCCCAAACCGACACAGGUGGUCAGGUAGAGAAUACCAAGGCGCUUGAGAGAACUCGGGUGAAGGAACUAGGCAAAAUGGUGCCGUAACUUCGGGAGAAGGCACGCUGAUAUGUAGGUGAAGUCCCUCGCGGAUGGAGCUGAAAUCAGUCGAAGAUACCAGCUGGCUGCAACUGUUUAUUAAAAACACAGCACUGUGCAAACACGAAAGUGGACGUAUACGGUGUGACGCCUGCCCGGUGCCGGAAGGUUAAUUGAUGGGGUUAGCGCAAGCGAAGCUCUUGAUCGAAGCCCCGGUAAACGGCGGCCGUAACUAUAACGGUCCUAAGGUAGCGAAAUUCCUUGUCGGGUAAGUUCCGACCUGCACGAAUGGCGUAAUGAUGGCCAGGCUGUCUCCACCCGAGACUCAGUGAAAUUGAACUCGCUGUGAAGAUGCAGUGUACCCGCGGCAAGACGGAAAGACCCCGUGAACCUUUACUAUAGCUUGACACUGAACAUUGAGCCUUGAUGUGUAGGAUAGGUGGGAGGCUUUGAAGUGUGGACGCCAGUCUGCAUGGAGCCGACCUUGAAAUACCACCCUUUAAUGUUUGAUGUUCUAACGUUGACCCGUAAUCCGGGUUGCGGACAGUGUCUGGUGGGUAGUUUGACUGGGGCGGUCUCCUCCUAAAGAGUAACGGAGGAGCACGAAGGUUGGCUAAUCCUGGUCGGACAUCAGGAGGUUAGUGCAAUGGCAUAAGCCAGCUUGACUGCGAGCGUGACGGCGCGAGCAGGUGCGAAAGCAGGUCAUAGUGAUCCGGUGGUUCUGAAUGGAAGGGCCAUCGCUCAACGGAUAAAAGGUACUCCGGGGAUAACAGGCUGAUACCGCCCAAGAGUUCAUAUCGACGGCGGUGUUUGGCACCUCGAUGUCGGCUCAUCACAUCCUGGGGCUGAAGUAGGUCCCAAGGGUAUGGCUGUUCGCCAUUUAAAGUGGUACGCGAGCUGGGUUUAGAACGUCGUGAGACAGUUCGGUCCCUAUCUGCCGUGGGCGCUGGAGAACUGAGGGGGGCUGCUCCUAGUACGAGAGGACCGGAGUGGACGCAUCACUGGUGUUCGGGUUGUCAUGCCAAUGGCACUGCCCGGUAGCUAAAUGCGGAAGAGAUAAGUGCUGAAAGCAUCUAAGCACGAAACUUGCCCCGAGAUGAGUUCUCCCUGACUCCUUGAGAGUCCUGAAGGAACGUUGAAGACGACGACGUUGAUAGGCCGGGUGUGUAAGCGCAGCGAUGCGUUGAGCUAACCGGUACUAAUGAACCGUGAGGCUUAACCUU